AACGAACGCUGGCGGCAGGCUUAACACAUGCAAGUCGAGCGCCCCGCAAGGGGAGUGGCAGACGGGUGAGUAACACGUGGGAAUCUACCCUUCUCUACGGAACAACCCCGGGAAACUGGAGCUAAUACCGGAUACGCGCUUUGGGGGAAAGAGUUAUCGGAGAAGGAUGGGACCGAGUCUGAUUAGCUAGUUGGGGGGGUAAAGGCGUACCAAGGCGACGAUCAGUAGCUGGUCUGAGAGGAUGAUCAGCCACACUGGGACUGAGACACGGCCCAGACUCCUACGGGAGGCAGCAGUGGGGAAUAUUGGACAAUGGGCGCAAGCCUGAUCCAGCCAUGCCGCGUGAGUGAUGAAGGCCUUAGGGUUGUAAAGCUCUUUCGCCAGAGACGAUAAUGACGGUACCUGGAUAAGAAGCCCCGGCUAACUUCGUGCCAGCAGCCGCAGUAAUAC
rnacentral:rRNA from 1 species